rnacentral:rRNA from 1 species
GAGUUUGAUCCUGGCUCAGGAUGAACGCUGGCGGCGUGCCUAAUACAUGCAAGUCGAGCGAACAGAUAAGGAGCUUGCUCCUUUGAGGUUAGCGGCGGACGGGUGAGUAACACGUGGGUAACCUACCUAUAAGACUGGGAUAACUUCGGGAAACCGGAGCUAAUACCGGAUAACAUUUAGAACCGCAUGGUUCUAAAGUGAAAGAUGGUUUUGCUAUCACUUAUAGAUGGACCCGCGCCGUAUUAGCUAGUUGGUAAGGUAACGGCUUACCAAGGCGACGAUACGUAGCCGACCUGAGAGGGUGAUCGGCCACACUGGAACUGAGACACGGUCCAGACUCCUACGGGAGGCAGCAGUAGGGAAUCUUCCGCAAUGGGCGAAAGCCUGACGGAGCAACGCCGCGUGAGUGAUGAAGGGUUUCGGCUCGUAAAACUCUGUUAUUAGGGAAGAACAAAUGUGUAAGUAACUGUGCACGUCUUGACGGUACCUAAUCAGAAAGCCACGGCUAACUACGUGCCAGCAGCCGCGGUAAUACGU